AACGAACGCUGGCGGCAGGCUUAACACAUGCAAGUCGAGCGCCCCGCAAGGGGAGCGGCAGACGGGUGAGUAACGCGUGGGAACGUACCCUUUGCUACGGAAUAGCUCCGGGAAACUGGAAUUAAUACCGUAUGUGCCCUACGGGGGAAAGAUUUAUCGGCAAAGGAUCGGCCCGCGUUGGAUUAGCUAGUUGGUGGGGUAAUGGCCUACCAAGGCGACGAUCCAUAGCUGGUCUGAGAGGAUGAUCAGCCACAUUGGGACUGAGACACGGCCCAAACUCCUACGGGAGGCAGCAGUGGGGAAUAUUGGACAAUGGGCGCAAGCCUGAUCCAGCCAUGCCGCGUGAGUGAUGAAGGCCUUCGGGUUGCAAAGCCCUGUCGAGGGGGAGAAAGGGGCAACCUUGAUCUAUCCCUGGAGGAAGCACGGGCUAAGUUCGUGCCAGCAGCCGCCGUAAUAC
rnacentral:rRNA from 1 species